rnacentral:rRNA from 1 species
UACGUAGGUGGCAAGCGUUGUCCGGAAUUAUUGGGCGUAAAGCGCGCGCAGGCGGUCCCUUAAGUCUGAUGUGAAAGCCCACGGCUCAACCGUGGAGGGUCAUUGGAAACUGGGGGACUUGAGUGCAGAAGAGGAGAGCGGAAUUCCACGUGUAGCGGUGAAAUGCGUAGAGAUGUGGAGGAACACCAGUGGCGAAGGCGGCUCUCUGGUCUGUAACUGACGCUGAGGCGCGAAAGCGUGGGGAGCAAACAGG